UCCGAGUUGACCCCGGCAGUCUCCCAUGAGUCCCCGGCAUCACCCGCUGGCAACAUGGAACAAGGGUUGCGCUCGUUGCGGGACUUAACCCAAUAUCUCACGACACGAGCUGACGACAGCCAUGCACCACCUGCACACCAACCACAAGGGAACUGAUAUCUCUACCAGCGUCUGGCGCAUGUCAAGCCCAGGUAAGGUUCUUCGCGUUGCAUCGAAUUAAAGAACAUGCUCCGCUGCUUGUGCGGGCCCCCGUCAAUUCCUUUGAGUUUCAUUCUUGCGAACGUACUUCCCAGGUGGAUUACUUAAUGCUUUCGCUUGGACGCUGACAGUGUAUCGCCAAUGUCGAGUAAUCAUCGUUUAUGGCGUGGACUAC
rnacentral:misc_RNA from 1 species